ACACGUAUGAAAGACAAGCUGAAAGACUUUUCUCAAUGAUGUAAGUGGUGGUGCAUGGUCGUUCUUAGUUCGUGGAUUGAUUUGUCUGGUCUAUUCCGAUAACGAGCGAGAUCCUAGCGUUCUUAAUAGAGUUUGAAGCCAAGUUUUCAGGAGCAAUCCUUUCUACUAGCUUCAUUUUAUAAACUUCUUAGACGUAUCAGAGCCGAUAAGGUUCUUGAAAUGGGUUAAUAACAGGUCAGUCAUGCCCUUAGAUGUUCUGGGCCGCACGCGCGUUACAAUGGUACACUCAGAAAGUGCCCAUUUUCAGGGUUUCUCCGGGACCUAACGGUUUCGGUAAACAUUAGUCUUUUCCUUGACUGGGCUAGACUAUUGUAAUUAUUGGUCUUCAACGAGGAAUUUUUAGUAGUCGCAGGUCAUUAACCUGCGACGA
rnacentral:rRNA from 1 species